rnacentral:rRNA from 1 species
AGUAACGCGUGGGUAACCUGCCUCAUACAGGGGGAUAACAGUUAGAAAUGACUGCUAAUACCGCAUAAGCGCACAGGACCGCAUGGUCAAGUGUGAAAAACUCCGGUGGUAUGAGAUGGACCCGCGUCUGAUUAGCUGGUUGGUGAGGUAAUGGCCCACCAAGGCGACGAUCAGUAGCCGACCUGAGAGGGUGGCCGGCCACAUUGGGACUGAGACACGGCCCAAACUCCUACGGAAGGCAGCAG